rnacentral:rRNA from 1 species
UACGUAGGGGGCAAGCGUUGUCCGGAUUUAUUGGGCGUAAAGAGCGUGUAGGCGGCUAGGUAGGUCCGUUGUGAAAACUCGAGGCUCAACCUCGAGACGUCGAUGGAAACCAUCUAGCUAGAGUCCGGAAGAGGAGAGUGGAAUUCCUGGUGUAGCGGCGAAAUGCGCAGAUAUCAGGAAGAACACCCGUGGCGAAGGCGGCUCUCUGGUACGUGACUGACGCUGAGGCGCGGAAGCUAGGGGAGCGAACAGG